rnacentral:rRNA from 1 species
GACGAACGCUGGCGGCGUGCCUAAUACAUGCAAGUAGAACGCUGAAGGAGGAGCUUGCUUCUCCGGAUGAGUUGCGAACGGGUGAGUAACGCGUAGGUAACCUGCCUGGUAGCGGGGGAUAACUAUUGGAAACGAUAGCUAAUACCGCAUAACAGUAGAUGUUGCAUGACAUUUGCUUAAAAGGUGCAAUUGCAUCACUACCAGAUGGACCUGCGUUGUAUUAGCUAGUUGGUGAGGUAACGGCUCACCAAGGCGACGAUACAUAGCCGACCUAAGAGGGUGAUCGGCCACACUGGGACUGAGACACGGCCCAGACUCCUACGGGAGGCAGCAGUAGGGAAUCUUCGGCAAUGGACGGAAGUCUGACCGAGCAACGCCGCGUGAGUGAAGAAGGUUUUCGGAUCGUAAAGCUCUGUUGUAAGAGAAGAACGAGUGUGAGAGUGGAAAGUUCACACUGUGACGGUAUCUUACCAGAAAGGGACGGCUAACUACGUG